AAACACGGACCAAGGWGUNUAACAUGUGCNNGAGUCAAUGGGAUACACUAAACCCAGAGGCGCAAUGAAAGUGGGGCGGCCUCGUGCCGCCUAGGGAAGAUGGCUCUCUCCUGGGGAGCCCGCACUCCCGGGGCGCCCCGGCUUCGGCCGUGGGCGCACUCUGAGCGUACAUGUUGGGACCCGAAAGAUGGUGAACUAUGCCUGGCCAGGACGAAGUCAGGGGAAACCCUGAUGGAGGUCCGCAGCGAUUCUGACGUGCAAAUCGAUCGUCAGAGCUGGGUAUAGGGGCGAAAGACUAAUCGAACCAUCUAGUAGCUGGUUCCCUCCGAAGUUUCCCUCAGGAUAGCUGGCGCCCGCUUUGAAGCAGACGAGUCUCAUCCGGUAAAGCGAAUGAUUAGAGGCCUUGGGGCCGAAACGACCUCAACCUAUUCUCAAACUUUAAAUGGGUGAGAACUCCGGCUUGCUCGAGUGAAGCCGCGAGGUGGAUCAGGGUGCCAAGUGGGCCAUUUUUGGUAAGCAGAACUGGCGCUGUGGGAUGAACCAAACGCCGGGUUAAGGCGCCUAAACCGGAGCUCAUUGGAUACCAUGAAAGGCGUUGGUUGCUUAAGACAGCAGGACGGUGGCCAUGGAAGUCGGAAUCCGCUAAGGAGUGUGUAACAACUCACCUGCCGAAGCAACUAGCCCUGAAAAUGGAUGGCGCUAAAGCUCCGUGCCUAUACCCGGCCGCCGGAAGGCAUUGGCGUGAGCAUAUUGCCCUUCGGGGCAGCGAGCGCGUGAAGCCCCGGUGAGUAGGAGGGCGCGGCGGUGUGCGCAGAAGGGUCUGGGCGUGAGCCUGCCUGGAGCCGCCGUCGGUGCAGAUCUUGGUGGUAGUAGCAAAUACUCAAGCGAGGGCCUUGAGGGCUGAUGUGGAGAAGGGUUUCGUGUGAACAGCCGUUGCACACGAGUCAGUCGAUCCUAAGCCCUAGGAGAAAUCCGAUGUCGAUGUGGGGGGCCCGUCUGACGAGCUCCCCCUCGACGGGCGAAAGGGAAUCCGGUUCCUAUUCCGGAACCCGGCAGCGGAACCGAUCUGCGGGCUCUCGCCAGAGAAGCUCGUCGGGGUAACCCAAAGAGACCCGGAGACGCCGUCGGGAGACCCGGGCAGAGUUUUCUGUUCUGCAUAAGCGUUCGAGUUCCCUGGAAUCCUCUAGCAGGGAGAUAGGGUUUGGAACGCGAAGAGCACCGCAGUUGCGGCGGUGUCCGGGUCGCCCCCUCGGACCUUGAAAAUCCGGGAGAGGGUCACGCGGAGGUGUCGCGCCGGCUCGUACCCAUAUCCGCAGCAGGUCUCCAAGGUUAAGAGCCU
rnacentral:rRNA from 1 species